UACGUAGGUGGCAAGCGUUGUCCGGAAUUAUUGGGCGUAAAGCGCGCGCAGGUGGUUCCUUAAGUCUGAUGUGAAAGCCCACGGCUCAACCGUGGAGGGUCAUUGGAAACUGGGGAACUUGAGUGCAGAAGAGGAAAGUGGAAUUCCAAGUGUAGCGGUGAAAUGCGUAGAGAUUUGGAGGAACACCAGUGGCGAAGGCGACUUUCUGGUCUGUAACUGACGCUGAGGUGCGAAAGCGUGGGGAGCAAACAGG
rnacentral:rRNA from 1 species